rnacentral:rRNA from 1 species
AACGAACGCUGGCGGCAGGCCUAACACAUGCAAGUCGAGCGCCCCGCAAGGGGAGCGGCGGACGGGUGAGUAACGCGUGGGAACGUGCCUCUUGCUACGGAAUAGCCUCGGGAAACUGGGAGUAAUACCGUAUGUGCCCUACGGGGGAAAGAUUUAUCGGCAAGAGAUCGGCCCGCGUUGGAUUAGGUAGUUGGUGGGGUAAUGGCCUACCAAGCCGACGAUCCAUAGCUGGUUUGAGAGGAUGAUCAGCCACACUGGGACUGAGACACGGCCCAGACUCCUACGGGAGGCAGCAGUGGGGAAUAUUGGACAAUGGGCGCAAGCCUGAUCCAGCAAUGCCGCGUGUGUGAAGAAGGCCUGCGGGUUGUAAAGCACUUUUGUUCGGGAAGAAAUCAUGUCGGUUAAUACCCGAUGUGGAUGACGGUACCGAAAGAAUAAGCACCGGCUAACUUCGUGCCAGCAGCCGCGGUAAAGUACAGUGU